CCUACGGGAGGCAGCAGUGGGGAAUCUUGCACAAUGGAGGAAACUCUGAUGCAGCGAUGCCGCGUGAGUGAAGAAGGCCUUUGGGUUGUAAAGCUCUUUUGUAGGGGAAGAUAAUGACUGUACCCUAAGAAUAAGGUCCGGCUAACUUCGUGCCAGCAGCCGCGGUAAUACGAAGGGACCUAGCGUAGUUCGGAAUUACUGGGCGUAAAGCGCGCGUAGGCCGUUGAGUUAGUUAAUUGUGAAAUCCCAAAGCUUAACUUUGGAACUGCAAUUAAAACUGCUCGACUAGAGUUUGAUAGAGGAAAGCGGAAUACAUAGUGUAGAGGUGAAAUUCGUAGAUAUUAUGUAGAACACCAGUUGCGAAGGCGGCUUUCUGGAUCAACACUGACGCUGAGGCGCGAAAGUAUGGGUAGCAAAGAGGAUUAGAUACCCUCGUAGUCCAUACCAUAAACGAUGAUUGCCAGAUGUUGGAAAUUUAUUUUCAGUAUCGCAGCUAACGCAUUAAGCAAUCCGCCUGGGGAGUACGACCGCAAGGUUAAACUCAAAUGAAUUGACGGNNGNGAGNGCGAGCGACGACGAGGAGAG
rnacentral:rRNA from 1 species